rnacentral:rRNA from 1 species
CAUAGUAGUUUGCUCUUUAAUUGAGAGCUUGUAUAAAAGGUCGAAUGACUGGCAACUGUUCCUACAACAACGUGAAAUUAAUUCCUAGGUUAAAACUCUUAGAGUGCGCUCAGGGACGAUAAGACCCCGUAAAAUUUUACUAUGUGAAACCAAAGGCAGAUAAAAUUAAAAAAAAAGUUUGGCUGGGACGGCGGAUUUAAAAAAAAAUCUAAAUUAAUAGAAACGGAAAUUCUGAA